rnacentral:rRNA from 1 species
UGCAGUCGAACGGUAACAGGAAGUGCUUGCACUUCGCUGACGAGUGGCGGACGGGUGAGUAAUGCUUGGGAACUUGCCUUUGCGAGGGGGAUAACAGUUGGAAACGACUGCUAAUACCGCAUAAUGUCUUCGGACCAAACGGGGCUUAGGCUCCGGCGCAAAGAGAGGCCCAAGUGAGAUUAGCUAGUUGGUAAGGUAAAGGCUUACCAAGGCAACGAUCUCUAGCUGUUCUGAGAGGAAGAUCAGCCACACUGGAACUGAGACACGGUCCAGACUCCUACGGGAGGCAGCAGUGGGGAAUAUUGCACAAUGGGGGAAACCCUGAUGCAGCCAUGCCGCGUGUGUGAAGAAGGCCUUCGGGUUGUAAAGCACUUUCAGUUGUGAGGAAAAGUUAGUAGUUAAUACCUGCUAGCCGUGACGUUAACAACAGAAGAAGCACCGGCUAACUCCGUGCCAGCAGCCGCGGUAAUACGGAGGGUGCGAGCGUUAAUCGGAAUUACUGGGCGUAAAGCGCACGCAGGCGGUUUGUUAAGCUAGAUGUGAAAGCCCCGGGCUCAACCUGGGAUGGUCAUUUAGAACUGGCAGACUAGAGUCUUGGAGAGGGGAGUGGAAUUCCAGGUGUAGCGGUGAAAUGCGUAGAUAUCUGGAGGAACAUCAGUGGCGAAGGCGACUCCCUGGCCAAAGACUGACGCUCAUGUGCGAAAGUGUGGGUAGCGAACAGGAUUAGAUACCCUGGUAGUCCACACCGUAAACGCUGUCUACUAGCUGUUUGUGGCUUUAAGCCGUGAGUAGCGAAGCUAACGCGCUAAGUAGACCGCCUGGGGAGUACGGCCGCAAGGUUAAAACUCAAAUGAAUUGACGGGGGCCCGCACAAGCGG